rnacentral:rRNA from 1 species
GACGAACGCUGGCGGCGUGCUUAACACAUGCAAGUCGAACGGUGAAGCUCCAGCUUGCUGGAGUGGAUCAGUGGCGAACGGGUGAGUAACACGUGAGCAACCUGCCCCUGACUCUGGAAUAAGCGCUGGAAACGGCGUCUAAUACUGGAUACGAGAAGGGUCCGCAUGGGCACUUUCUGGAAAGUUUUUCGGUUGGGGAUGGGCUCGCGGCCUAUCAGCUUGUUGGUGAGGUAAUGGCUCACCAAGGCGACGACGGGUAGCCGGCCUGAGAGGGCGACCGGCCACACUGGGACUGAGACACGGCCCAGACUCCUACGGGAGGCAGCAGUGGGGAAUAUUGCACAAUGGGCGAAAGCUUGAUGCAGCGACGCCGCGUGAGGGAUGACGGCCUUCGGGUUGUAAACCUCUUUCAGCAGGGAAGAAGCGAAAGUGACGGUACCUGCAGAAGAAGCACCGGCUAACUACGUG